UUUUAUCUAGCUCAAGAUUUAGAGUGUUAGUUUGAAGAGCUAAAGAUGUUUAUUACGAUAAAAG
rnacentral:tRNA from 1 species